rnacentral:rRNA from 1 species
GACGAACGCUGGCGGCGUGCCUAAUACAUGCAAGUAGAACGCACAGUUUAUACCGUAGCUUGCUACACCAUAGACUGUGAGUUGCGAACGGGUGAGUAACGCGUAGGUAACCUGCCUGGUAGCGGGUGAUAACUAUUGGAAACGAUAGCUAAUACCGCAUAAUAUUGAUUAUUGCAUGAUAAUUGAUUGAAAGAUGCUAUUGCAUCACUACCAGAUGGACCUGCGUUGUAUUAGCUAGUAGGUGAGGUAACGGCUCACCUAGGCGACGAUACAUAGCCGACCUGAGAGGGUGAUCGGCCACACUGGGACUGAGACACGGGCCAGACUCCUACGGGAGGCAGCAGUAGGGAAUCUUCGGCAAUGGACGAAAGUCUGACCGAGCAACGCCGCGUGAGUGAAGAAGGUUUUCGGAUCGUAAAGCUCUGUUGUAAGAGAAGAACGGGUGUGAGAGUGGAAAGUUCACACUGUGACGGUAUCUUACCAGAAAGGGACGGCUAACUACGUG